rnacentral:rRNA from 1 species
CACGGGGGUUGCGAGCGUUGUCCGGAAUUACUAGGCGUAAAGGGCAGGCAGGCGGAUCUAUAAGUUUUUUGUUUAAGGCGACAGCUUAACUGUCGUACGGCAGGAGAUACUGUAGAUCUGGAAUGCGGUUGGGGAAGACAGAAUUCCUGGUGUAGCGGUGGAAUGCGCAGAGAUCAGGAGGAAUACCGAAGGCGAAGGCAGUCUUCCAAGCCGUAAUUGACGCUGAACUGCGAAGGUGUGGGUAUCAAAC